UACGUAGGUGACCAGCGUUGUCCGGAUUUACUGGGCGUAAAGAGCGCGCAGGCGGUCGUUCAAGUCGAGUGUGAAAGCCCCCGGCUCAACUGGGGAGGGUCAUUUGAUACUGAUCGACUCGAAGGCAGGAGAGGGAAGCGGAAUUCCCGGUGUAGUGGUGAAAUGCGUAGAUAUCGGGAGGAACACCGGUGGCGAAGGCGGUUCUCUGGGCCUUACCUGACGCUGAGGAGCGAAAGCGUGGGGAGCGAACAGG
rnacentral:rRNA from 1 species